GACGAACGCUGGCGGCGUGCCUAAUACAUGCAAGUCGAACGCUUCUUUCCUCCCGAGUGCUUGCACUCAAUUGGAAAGAGGAGUGGCGGACGGGUGAGUAACACGUGGGUAACCUACCCAUCAGAGGGGGAUAACACUUGGAAACAGGUGCUAAUACCGCAUAACAGUUUAUGCCGCAUGGCAUAAGAGUGAAAGGCGCUUUCGGGUGUCGCUGAUGGAUGGACCCGCGGUGCAUUAGCUAGUUGGUGAGGUAACGGCUCACCAAGGCCACGAUGCAUAGCCGACCUGAGAGGGUGAUCGGCCACACUGGGACUGAGACACGGCCCAGACUCCUACGGGAGGCAGCAGUAGGGAAUCUUCGGCAAUGGACGAAAGUCUGACCGAGCAACGCCGCGUGAGUGAAGAAGGUUUUCGGAUCGUAAAACUCUGUUAUUAGAGAAGAACAAGGACGUUAGUAACUGAACGUCCCCUGACGGUAUCUAACCAGAAAGCCACGGCUAACUACGUG
rnacentral:rRNA from 1 species